UACGUAGGGUCCGAGCGUUGUCCGGAAUUAUUGGGCGUAAAGGGCUCGUAGGCGGUUUGUCACGUCGGGAGUGAAAACUCAGGGCUCAACCCUGAGCGUGCUUCCGAUACGGGCAGACUAGAGGUAUGCAGGGGAGAACGGAAUUCCUGGUGUAGCGGUGGAAUGCGCAGAUAUCAGGAGGAACACCGGUGGCGAAGGCGGUUCUCUGGGCAUUACCUGACGCUGAGGAGCGAAAGCAUGGGGAGCAAACAGG
rnacentral:rRNA from 1 species